rnacentral:lncRNA from 1 species
UAUACAGUUAAUAAUGAUUCUAUCUUUAGAAUAGAAAUAAAGCUCACAGAACGGGGUGAUCAGAACAAAUUUCAUGGAGGAGUAGGUCUUGAAAGCUGCAUAGCAUUUCUAAAGCUUUUGUUGUUGUUGCUAAAUAUAACACAGGGAUAUUAAAAUGCAUAAAGUGAAAAAUCAUCAGACAAAUAUUCACAUAACCAUCAUCCUACCUGCCUCAGCAUUCAACAGUAUGUUCAUUCCUUCAUUCUCACCUUACAGAUAACUGCUCUAUUAAAUAUGAUGGGAAUCAUAGCUUUGCAUUACUUUAUUCUUUGGCUAUUUGAAUAUGCAUCUCUAAACAAGGUAAUUUUUUUCCUAUUUUUAAAUUUUACAAAAUUGGAAACUGGUAGUAUAUAUUCUUCUGUAUCUGACUUCUUUGGCACGAUGCUGUGUUUUUAGUAUUCGUCCAUGAGAUCCAUUGCUUCUUCAUUUAUUUUCAGUGCUCUGGUUCAUUCUAUGAAUAUAUAAUUGAUUAAUUUAUUCUUUCUUUGAUGUGCUUUGAGUUAAACUCCUAAUGCAUCCCUUGACACUUGUUCCAAUUUACCUGAAGAAUGGCGAUUCCAUCCUGCAUUUGUUUAGGCCAAAAGCCUUAGGGCUGACCUGACUCUUGCUUUCUCUCAUAGCUGCACAUCCAGUCUGCCAGGAAAUCCUGUCACUACUACCUUCAAAACAGAGCCACAGUUUGACCACUUCAAGACUGGGUUAUGUUUGCCUCUUAGCUGGUGUUCCUGCUUCUACCCUUACAUCUCCCUUACAAUCUGUUCUAAAACCAGCAGCCAGAGUGACUUUUGCCACUCCAUAAAACAUAAAUGGAAUCAUGUCAUGCCUCACUCCCUGCAAAGACCCACCAUUUCACUAAAAACAAAGUCAAGGUCCGAACCAUGACCUACGUAAUCUAGCCCUGGGUUUCUUCUCUCAGCAUUAUCUUCUACUUCUCUUCCCUUCUUUGCUCUGACCCCAUGGGCCUCCUGGCUGUUGUUUGAACAUGCCAGGCAUGGUUUCCCUUCAAACGUUGGCAUUAGCUGUUCCCUCUGUCUGGAAUGAUUUUUCUGCCCAAUAAAGAGAUGACUUUCAUGGAUUGCAUAAAAACACGUAUGUACAAAUGUUUCCUUAACUAUAGGUAUCAAAUAAAGUUCUCUACUAUUAUGAUUUUAAUAAUAAAUAUCUAUUGGCAUUAUUCCUUAUUUCUUUAGAAUGAAUUUGAUUUACCGAUGCAUUGGAAUCUUGCUAGGAUAGCACACGUCAUAUACACAGUUUUAGUUACAGCAUUGAUGAAAUCACAAUCUCUGGAACACUAAUCUUUUAGGUAUGUGCCAUUACUCUCUGCAAGAUAAUAGUUGCCAUUUGUUUAGUACUCACUAUGAGCCAGGCCCUGGAUUUAAAAUGCAUUAUCUGAUUUAAUCCUCACCUCGACCCUAUGAGAUUGGAAAUAUUUUUUCCCAAUUUAACAGAUGAGGAAAUUAAGCCCCAAAGUAUUAAAUAACUCUCUUAAGCCCACAGUCAGUAAAUGUGCUAGUUUUCAAACAUGAGCCUGUCUGACUCCAAAGUCCUAUAUACCACAAAGUCUUCUUUGCUCCACAUAUCAAAACUGGAAAAACAUCACUGUGAAUUUUUUCAGAUUUAUCUGAUAUGUAAUGCUCUUGAAAUUACUUGAACUAUUUUGGAUGCCAGAGUAAUUUAAUGAUGGGAGAAAAUAAUUCCAUGCUCUAAAUUCAAUUACUACCCUGUUUCCAUUUAGUAAUCAAGGAAACAUGGAAAACUCCUGAUAUACAGUAAAACAUAUAAAAACAAAAUGUCAAAAUAAAUUAAAAGUGCAAUAGGGGAAAAGAAACAAAUAUGAAGCAUGUUUGAGAGGACCACGAAGAGUUCAUUUAAGGGCAAGGAGUUCCAGAAUGUUAUACAACAUCGAAACACAAAAGAAUCAGAAGUAAUUUUUUUCUGUAACAACUGAGCUCAUGAAGUUGAGCCGUGUGAUGGUAAACCCAAGGGUAUGGAUGAUCUAAAAUCACAUAGAUCCAUGCUGAUAUGUUACUAGUUGCCAAGCAAACAAAUGGCCACAUUGCAGUUCAACGUAAGAGUUUUUGCCAUUCUUUCCCUUUGCCUGGCAUGUGAAAAUGCAAUAAGUAGCUUUAGAGCCAAAUGGAAUAUACAAAUGUGUAGCAAUGUCAUCUUUGCUAUUCUAUUCUGGUCAAGAGAAGGCAUAUGCUGAUUGAGAAGAUACCAACAUAUACAGCUGCUAAUAGUUACUCUAACUCAACAUGUGUUAAGACCAAAGAAUAGUUGUCAUCUGGCGCAAGUGCUGAGCCUCUUUCAGAUGAGGCAAUGGGGUACAAGUCUAUUACCUCUAGCUCAGAAACACUAUUCACCAACUACCCAAUAAUAAACACAUCUAUUCCACUUGUUUUAAGGCUUUUUAGAAAUCAUUAACUCAAAGUAUCUUUGUAAUUGAUACACAUCUGCAGACCACAGGGUAGCUGGGACAUAAUAGUUAUAAUGAAAGAAUGAUCAAGUGCCAACAUGGAAGGGUGUCUCAUAAGAGCCUAGACAUUAUAAAUAUAAUGUCAUAUCUUGCCUUUGGAAGGUCAGGGAAAAUAUACUUGUCUAUUCACUAAAUAUACUUAAGGCCUUGCUAAAUUAUUAUUCAUUUGAAAAAAAAAGCUUUGGAGAUAACAGAAUAUUAUAAAAUAUAAAAUAAUUGAAAUCAUGGUUGUUUUCCAUCCACACAGAGGGAAAAUGUUCAUAGUGUUGGGGGAAGAAAAGACCAAAUGAUUAACGUGGCUAAGAGCUCUUACAUCUUGAUGAGAAAAUAUUUAACCUCUCUUGGCCAUCAGAAACCUGACUGAGCAUGUUCUCAGUUUUGUCUGCCAAAGGCUAUUUUGGAAUCUGGGAACAAUUGUUUUAAAAGGAAAGAAAUUGUCUAGUCUAGAUUCCAGAGGCGUGUGUUGAGACCUUCCUCUCAUUUCUUUCAUUUACUCAACAAAUAUUUAAGGCAGUAUUGCAUACAAUGAUGAUACAACAAUGAACAAGACAGACAAAGCUCCUGCUCUUCAGGAUUCUACAUGCUACUGGUGGAGGCAAAGGAUUGGAGAGAUUAAGGAACUUGAUUCAAGUCACGAAGCUACUAAGAGGCAAAACCAUGGUUUUAGUGAGACCCGUCUGGUUUCAAGAAGAGUAGUUUAAGUGUAUUCAGAGCCCAUUAUGUACCAGUCACUAUGUUCAGAAGUUUAUAUCUAGACCCCUCACAACAGGGUAUAAUAAAAGUGUAAGUGUGUAAACA